UUAAGACCUGAUUUCAUGAACCAAGCAGCACAUUGUUUCCCAGGGCUUCUGCAUAGAUAUAGAUUUUUUCCUUGCUUCUGCAAACAUAUAUGUGUAUCUCUUUGUCUUUCAGACAAGGUUUAUGAGCCUCCGACUCUUAAAGUGUGUUCCUCCACUGACGACAAACAGAGGAGGCUUACUUCUCCUGCUUUGCCAAAGAUUUUUUACCAAAUAAAUAUGAGAUCAGAUGGCUGAAAGAUGAUCAAGAAAUCGCCAGGAGGAUAGAUGAGGUCAACACAUUAUCUCAGGGAAGAAAUGACACAACUGGAACUGUCCUGUACAGUGUUGCAAGUCUGCUCACACUGAAGUCCAGUGAAUGGAGUGAAGAAUCAAAAGUAAUAUGUUUAUUUACGGGAAGAGGGGAACGAAACACAGUAGUCCAGCGGAAUUCAACUGUGUCCAAAAAGGAGAGCACAAGUUCAAAAGUGGGGUGUCCCUUUGCAGAUGCAGAUGUAAGCAUCAUACCUCCCAGAGACGAGAAGAUGUUUGUGAAUGGAAAAGGAACCAUAAUAUGUCAAGUCGCCAUCAAUGAGGGAGGACCUUACACGGUUGUCUGGGAGGACGAGAGUGGAACUGAACUGUUAUCUGAAACUGUGACUAAAGGAUCAAAAAUACAUCAAGCUAAAAUUGAAAUUACCUAUGAGGAAUGGACCAAUGGUGUUAAGCGUACCUGUAUUGUCCAAAGCAACGACUGGUUUGACACAGUGAAGAGAGAGUAUCAAAGCAAUACUGGAGGGGUUUCAAAGCGUCCAUCAGUGUUUAUGUUGACCCCUGUAGAACAAAGUAGAGAAAAUACAUUGAUCCUGACUUGCUAUGUGAAAGACUUCUCUCCUAAGAAUAUUUAUGUGGCUUGGUUGGUGGAUGAUGAAGACGUAGGCACAAAACAUCCAUUCAGUACCACAAAACCUGUGGAAAACAAUGGAUCCUUCUCUGUUUACAGCCAGUUGAUCCUCACAAGAGAUGACUGGGAGCAGACUGAUGUGGUGUACAGCUGUGCUGUUUAUCAUGAGUCACUGGCAAAGUCCUCCAGAUCCAUUGUCAGAUCUACUGGAUACAGAACCAGUGACAAAACCAACGUGGUCAACCUCAGCAUGAACGUCCCUGAAACGUGCAAGGCCUAGUAGAUGUUACGUUGUGUCUGUGCGUCUCCUGUUAAUUAAUUUUUUUUGUUCUUUGAUGUUUGUUGCUUGUGAUUUAAAAUUGUGUUUGUGUGUUUUUAGUGCAAAUUUAAAAUCAAAAUAAAUAAAAAAUAUUCACCAAUUG